CUAUCGCUACGUAGCAUAUAGUAUGAUCUUAGUUGAGUUCCCAUUUGAGAAUAUCUUUAGGAUUUUAGGGCCCCUUGCAUUCAUAUAGGAUUUUUACUUGUAGCUUGUGUUUGUGUUUUGGGGGAGUGGGGGUACUUGUUAAGGAGCACAUGAAAGUGUAGGACACUGGGUCGUCUAAUCAGUAUAUGUGCCAAUCAACUGUUAUAACUUGGAUUUUGACGUCCGUUAUAGGUUUGGGUGUUUCAAGUAAUAUUUUGAUUUGUUGAUCUUAACUGGACUCUCAAAAAAUUUCUUAUACACCUCAACUCCAUCCCUUGGAAAGAAAAAGGUAGCACCGAAGAAAGGAAAGAGCGAAAUGGUGGUUUUUGUUGUUCCCGCGAAGCAAGGAUGAUUCGACCAGCGAAUGAAGUCGGCCAAAUACUUUUCUCGCUGGUCGAGUUUUUGACAAAAAAAAAAGCGAAACAUAUUCUUUGUGCUUCUUCCAUGUGUGUGAGCUCCUCUCUGGGCGAAUAUGAUUGGCCUUUGACUUCCUUCUUCCUACAGAUGCCCUAGCCUACCAGUUAUAACUACUAGGCAGGAACUCGUAUAACAAUAUUUGCUAUAAACGUUUAUGCCUUUGUACGUGCCACGUCCUUGCAUAUCAGGUUUACUGAUCGCAAAGCAAAACAAUAUGUAUAUUUUAAAUGAGGAAGCUGCACAAAAUAUGAUAUAGACGACCAUGAAACAAGAUUACAUAACAGUUUCUGGGCAGAAUGAACCCGGCUUUAUAAGUUUUUUUAUGCCUUCGGAAAACAUCGGUAGUUUCGCUUUUGCCCUAAUUUCUUCUCAGUGAUUCUGGGACGGGUCUCUUAUUUCUGAAUUUGUGGUUAAAAGCACAAGGAGCUCUAUAAGCCCUUUAUAGACCCAGAAAGGCGAAUUUUGAGCUUUACAUACGUGAGGCAUUGCUCUAUGUACAACCAAAAGCUGUUUCUCUCGUCUUUUUUACAUGUCAGCCUAAUUCAUCAAGUAAAUAAUUCAUAAUCUCUUCAUUCAUUUUGAUCGUUUUAUAUAUCAGCAGCCUCCUCAUCAAAAUUUUGAUCAAAGUUGACCCAUUGAUCGCCACAUAUGUUGUUGAGGCAAACCAAGGUAGUUAGCAUGUCUGAUGACAGUUUACCACCAUUAACUGUGGUAACCAACUGCCAAACCUGGUUAGAUUUAAUUAUUUAUAGUUUUAGUACAGCUAGGGGCGCGUUCACCGAAGAAGACAUCACCACCCGCUGCCACGUCACCUACCCGGCGACCACCGGCCGGAACCAGGGGUGCUCCAUUAUCGGGGACCCCUGCAACACACACACAUUCCUCUCUCUCUCUCUCUCCUCUGCAAUUAACACAAAUCUGUCUCUCUCCUCUUCUACUCACCCGAACCUCCCUGGUGGCGGUGUUCCCGAUCGGGUAGGGGGUACCCGAUGACGCUUCAAGUGCCCUUAAGAGAUAACAUUUAGGAUUCAUAUUUGGGUAUAAGUCAGUACUUGGUAGUCUGCUUAAAGUGCUGCAAGCAACAGUGGUAAUUGUAUCAGGUGUUUGCCACAUCAGCAAGUAGCAACCCCAGCCCCAGGUGCUUAUUCUGAUGAAGUAGAUCUGUAUUACUUGGCAGUAGUGUUUGGAAUCAGGUGUUCCAGUACUUAUUAAUUAUUCUGUGUUUGCUUCUGCACUUGUCAUUGUUUUCAGUUAUGUAUUGUUUCAGCGACUUGUAGUUGAAAGAUUUUGUAGCCAUGAGCCCAUAAAUUCUAAACACUCAAUUCAUGUGCAUUCUAAUGUAUUAAAAUGGUU
rnacentral:lncRNA from 1 species